ensembl:lncRNA
GGGGCCCGGGGGGCCGAGGGACCCCAGCUGGAAGCCAGCGGCGUGCCCCCCGGCAGGAGGGACCAGGCGACGGCGUGGUGGGGGCCACCGGCCGGACCGUGAGGAGUGUCAUAGUGAAGAACGUUCCUUAAUGCUCCUGGACGGAGGCGGGGGCCAGAGCCUAACCAAAACCCAACGGUUCCUUCACAGCUCCAGGCUGUGAACAUAACAAGAAUGUUUUGAUAACGUACGACUUAAUGUUUGUCGGCAGGCCAUCCCAAAGCCUCAUUUUAUGAAGGAGGUUUUGAAUUUGAUAAGAAAAACCCUUCGGUUUCGCAGACGGGGGUUUCUAAGGAGUCCUAAAUUAUAUUUAGAUGUGCUCUUGCAUUAUGUGGCAUGAAUUUGCGUAGGUUUAUACUUGUACCAAUUGUUCCGUCGUGGUUUUGCCGUUCCCGCUCUCUGUCCCCCUGUCUGUCUGCGGAGAUGAGUGUCUAUGUACCGGUUUCACCCUCGUCCAUUUCAGAACCAACAUGUAGAAGCGGCGGUCGUCCACUGAUCAGGGACUGUAGAGAGAACACUUCUCAAAGCAGGGUUGAAUGGGAAGGAAUACCAUUUAGUCUAACACAGUGGUGGCACAGGCCUGCCCAUGGGAACAUUAGAGAUGCUCGUGAAUGGACAUCUACGGCAUUGUUGGUAAAACCUUCACUUCAAAAUGUGGUUUUUGUACUUGUAAAAUAAAGUAUGUAUAGUGAAUUAAAGUGUACUACUGAAUGAUUGAAAUCCCAGGUCAUCAGUAAGCGAUGACUAUGGGAUUUGAGGGUUCUUUUGAAAUCCAUUUUGAUUAUAGUAUUUCCACUCCCAACCAAGUCAAGCCUGGAUAUAAUACCAGAUCUUGGUUCCACCAAGACAACUCACUUAAUUUAAUUUCCAAUGAAUCCCAACCAAAAUGAUAGACACAACCCGAUAUUUUGUCUCUGAUGAAGUGAACUGCCUUCAGUUGAUCCCUGGAACAAUGUUAAUGCCUUACCUGGCGCUUUCUGUCUCUUGUGAGAGGAAACUCCUGGUUGACUUCUGAAUGCUGGAUGAAGAUAUGUGAUCAAUGUGUUUAUUAUUGGGGGGAAAAGAGCUACUGAGCUGGGGGCAUAUACCAUAACCAGUGAUUAUGGUCUCACACGGAGGCUUCUGAAAUCCAAGUGAAUUUAGUUAAUGUCUAUAAAGUAUUUUCUUAUCGCUUGAUUUGAAUGUUAAUCGUUAUGGUUCCAAAAUUGGUCAGGUAAAGCGAAAAAAGAAGAAAAAAACCCUUGUUAUUCCUGGUAUUUAUACACACUCGCACUGUUUCUCCCAUCUCUUUAAUUUCACAUCACACAUACACCCUGGCAAUCCACUCUCAUCUUAAAAUGUUCUUGGCUAUAACUGGAAUCAGACUAUGAAUGCUGUUAAAAUAACAAUGUAUCACCACCUUUGACCACUCACCUCAUCAAGAAAGCAUUUUGCAAUCGAGGUCAUAGGGAUGGAUGCUAAGAUUAAGUUGUCUCGUUAAAGAGUUCUUGUAACAGUAAUAUACAAGAAAAAAAUGAUUGUUUUACUUGAUAAGUAUUUUAAGUGAGCGAUAAAAAGAUUGGCGCCAAUUUGAGCUUCCUUUUUGAAGAAGACAGGAAACGCUGUCUAGAAAGAGCUUGUAUUUUAUCAUUCAGUGGUCUGUCUUGCAGCAUUCAAUAAGCCUAUACAACCGACCUGCAUUUUCUGAUUUACUUUGACGAAUGUCUGUUCCUUCCUCUGUACGAGUCUGUAACUCCAGACCCUUCCACACGAUGUCAGUGUGCUGUGGAGCAUUUUCAUGACAGAUCGACAAAUGUUUGUUGACUUGUGUAUCUACAUCUAAUAUUAGGAAUAAUAAAAUGGUUUAUUCAAAACAAUUUGUUAUCUGCUUUGUUU